rnacentral:rRNA from 1 species
CCUACGGGAGGCAGCAGUGGGGAAUCUUGCACAAUGGCCGUAACGCUGAUCCAGCGACGCCGCGUGAGGGAAGAAGGAUCUAUUGUUUGUAAACUUCUUUUAUAGGGGAAUAAAGGUAUCCACGUGUAGAUCUUUGCCUGUACCCUAUGAAUAAGCAUCGGCUAACUCCGUGACAGCAGCCGCGGUAAUACGGAGGAUGCGAGCGUUAGCCGGAUUUAUUGGGGUUAAAGGGUGCGUAGUUUGUGUUUUAAGCCAGCGGUGAAAGGUGGUGGCUCAACCAGAAAAUUGCAGUUGAAACUGGAAGAAUAGAGUGUGGGUGAGGUAGGCGGAAUGCGUGGUGUAGCGGUGAAAUGCAUAGAUAUCACGCGGAACUCUGAUGGCGAAGGCAGCUUACUAGGCCAUAACUGACACUGAAGCACGAAAGCGUGGGGAUCAAACAGGAUUAGAUACCCCUGUAGUC